CACCGGCAGCUCAAGUGGUAGCCGCUUUUAUUGGGCCUAAAGCGUCCGUAGCCGGUCUGAUAAGUCUCUGGUGAAAUCCCACAGCUUAACUGUGGGAAUUGCUGGAGAUACUAUCAUGACUCGAGGUCGGGAGAGGCUGGAGGUACUCCCAGGGUAGGGGUGAAAUCCUGUAAUCCUGGGAGGACCACUUGUGGCGAAGGCGUCCAGCUGGAACGAACCUGACGGUGAGGGACGAAAGCCAGGGGCGCGAACCGG
rnacentral:rRNA from 1 species